GUGUACAGCCAUGGCACCCUGAACAAGCCCGAUGUCUGAUCUUGGAAGCUAAGCAGGGUCGGGCCCAGUUAGUACUUAGAUGGGAGACCACCUAGGAAGACCAGGUACUGUAAGUA
rnacentral:rRNA from 1 species